rnacentral:sRNA from 1 species
AAAAAAUACAUUAAUUUUAACUUUUAAAAAUUAUAUAAAAAAGUCAACCAGGCACAAUUUUGGAAAUUUCCAAUAUUACUUUGAUUGAUAAUCCGCCAUUCCUCACUUAUAAGCUGUGCAGCCAUUUUGAGCACUUUUUGAUAGCAACAGCUAUAAUUGCAAGAACAAUAAUGGAAAAAA